UUUUUUUUUUUUUGUUUAAAUUGUUGCAUUUGCUAUAUUGAUAUUUAAACCGAGACAUAUCUAGAACUACUUGCGCAUGUAAGGUGUUUUUUGGAUCUAAUAUUUUGAUAAAUAUUUGCUUAGUUCUGCACAAGGCUAUGGAUAAAGUGAGAAACCAACUUAGUAUAGAUUCAAGAAUUUGCAUAAGUGAUGCCACCAAAACGAAAAUAUCCUACUAUGAAGGAACGAUAUGCUAAAAAAAAAAAUAAAUUUGCCACAUUCGAACUUGAAAUGCUGCUAAUAUGCCUAGGUAAAUAAUUAUACUGUUAGGGUCAUUUCGACUUCAGUCUUGUCUGGAGUUGAUAUCGAUGAUUUGGAUGUUGAAGGCUUAAAUAGUGAUACACCAUAGUUCUCCAUACCUGGUGAAUCAAUAUCCCAGUCACUAGCAGCAAUAUUUUUGGCUACGUCGAAAAAGAAAACACAAACACACAUACACACAUGUACACAUACAAUUAUAAUGUACAAUUCUAAGGGAAGGGUCAGAUUAUACGGUAAAUUGGGAGGGAUAGUAAGGAUCUCCUACUUUCAAAAAAAAAAAAUUGUAAAAUCUUAUUUCGCCAAAGAACUAUUUUUUUUUUUAUAUAUAUAACUCAUAGGCGUCCGCAUCCGUUUUACGGUCUGCGAUUAAUCCUGUUCGAACUGGGUCAAGCUUCUUGCAGGGGGAAGCUCUUUCAACGUUGUUUUUUCCAUUUCUAUGGAUUUCGAACUCGAGAUCUCAUGAUUAAGGGAUGCAAGUUCCUUUCACUUGCACUGACAUCCGUUGGUCGCCAAGCAACUAUGCUCAAGCAUGGGUACAACGUUUUUUUUUUUUUUUUUGGUCUAAUCACCUAUCACUUUAUCAAUCACGGAAUCACAACAUUUCCUUUUACUUGAAACGGGAUAAAAUGCAAGUGCACCAAAUGCAAAAACAGCAAGCCAAUACCAGCUGCCUAAUACAUUCCUCCCAAUUAACAACUAUUAUGAGUUUAAAGUUUAAACACUUGUAAUUCUUGUACUCCAAAAGACAUAUAAUUGUACUAUGUAUACAAAUAAAUCAUCAGCAGCUUAUCCGUACAACACAAUGCAAGUCUGCCAGACCUUUGAGAGCCCGUUCCUUUUAUCCUUAUAUCAACCGGCCUCUCCCACACAAGGCGAGGCUCAUUAGCUAGUUUAAAUUAAAUUUGAUAUGUAUCUAAUUGUUCAUACAUCCUUAAUACUAGAAGCUUUAAAGGAUGAUAAUUAGCUACCUUGAUAAUGCCUUGAGCUAUAGAAUUUCCGUUGAUGUCAAAAUUCUCAAAUCAUCUGUAUUUGAAUUUGAAUAUCAAAUUUGGUAUGUGUGACAUGCAUCUAAAUCUACUAUUGUAUACAAUGUCAAUGCGUAAAAGAUUUAUCCUAUUAGUAUGAAUUAAACUUUUUUAUACUGUCAGUGUAUAAAUGGAACAGAGUUAGAUAAAUCCCACGUCAUUUAAAUUUGAAUCUGCAAAUCAAAUUAUAUAUAUAUGGCAUGUAUACAAACCCGUUAAUGUAUACACUGUCAAUCAUAAAAGAUUUACCCAUUACUGUAUGCUGAAAUCAUCAUUGGGCUUAGAAUCUAAAAGCAUAGCCUCUCCAAUUUAAACUUUAGUAGUUUACAAUUCUUCUAAAAAGAAACCAAAAUAUUCGGAGUUGAACAAUUAUUUGGCUACUCUAAGUUAUAUUGACCGUUUUCCUCUUAAAACUACUUCAUGUUCAAGUGAUUGUGCUUUGUCCUGUUCUCUUGCUUAGUUCGGUUGUGUGAAAGCAAGAUAUGGGAUAUAUUCAUGCUUCCGGCAUAUUCUUUUGCUAUGCAUGACUUUGUCUUGGGUUCGGGUUGGAAUUCAAAAUUCUGGACUUGAACCUGUUUUUAUGUAGUAGAUUCGAAUCCAACUUAUAUAGCCAACGGAUCUUGAUCUUAAAGUUUCGGAAUCGGAUCCGAGUCGGGUUCAAGUUGGAUCCAGGAUUGAAAGAUCCAAAUUUAAAUAUUCUAAAACUAAAUCCAAGACGAAUCACAGAUCCAAUCUCCAAACUUAAACAAAUCAAAUUACAAAACUAAAUCACAAAUAACUCAGCAACAGUGAAUCCAAAACUAACCACAAAUCAAUCUAUAAAAUCAUUACUAAAUUAUUAAUUUGAUAAAAGAAUGUAUUUAGAAAUAUUUAUAUUUUAUAAUUAUUAAUAUAUUGUCUGGAGCCGGAUUCGGCUAUUAGAAUUAUUUUUCAAUCCAAACUCAGAAAAAUUUAAAGGACCCGGGUCAGGUCCGGGUCCAAACCCAACCCGUUGACACCCCAGUAGAUUCCAUUCUCUUUUAUUGUUCAGGUUUUGGCUCUCAAACGAUGUUGCUGCAAAUUUGGAAAUUGCUUAUUUUGUCUAGUCCUCUACUUCCAUGAUAGACUGAUUAGGACAAGAUCAUCUUUAGCAUCUUUAAAUUAUUCUUCUCACAAUUUUGCAGUGAAUGGAACUAGAAAAUGUUGACGCGGGACAUCUUGCUACGAUUAAUCAUUGACUCCAAGCUGUGUAAAAAUUGGAAAUCUUCGCCCUCUUUUCCUUCAACUUUGUGGGUGGAAAACCUAAUUUGCAGUUAUGAACAAAGCAUUCCAACAAUACAUGCCUUGUCUGCAGGAGAGAUGAAUUGAAAAUGAGAACCUGAGGGGGUUAAAAAAAAAAAAACCUUGGAACUUCCAGUUAAACAACUGAAACAUCACAACGAAUUUGUGAGGUUUAUAACUGGAUUGCCAAGAAAAGCAAAACCUAUAGUUUCCCGGCUGGCAUUUGCACAGCCAGGAAUUGGCUGCCAGAUAACAGGAGAAGCAUAUGGUCGACUUACUGGGAAAUAUAAUCUUGGCACUGACAAUGUGGAUGAAGCUGCUGGUAGAGUUCUUGAUCGAGCAUCUAAGUGAGAGGUCCUCUUCUGGGCAAUCAGAGGGGACUGAGGAAGGAGCUUCGAAAUACUACUUGGCUGGAUGCUACAACUUUACUGUCAACCGUGACAGUUUUUACAGUUCCAAAUACAUUGGGACAAGGAGGAGUAACUAUAUUGCUGUGUAGGUGGCCUGAAGUUUUUUAUAAGCUUUGACGAAAAUCUAUUCCUCAGAGUAGUCAUACAAGCCAGUGAAUGCAACUAAUCAGAAUGUAAAGGGGAUUAUGCAAACUGCCUGCGAUGCUUUAUUCCUUGGAAGAGCUAACAAACGUCUACAGAUCAUGAAGAAAAGCUUUCCUGGAUUGGGAUUGACUCAAAAGAAACUGUAUUGAGAUGAGCUGGAUUGUAUCAGUGCUGUAUCUAGCCAACUUCAUUAGUACAAGGCCUGAUGUUUUUGCUUCAAAGAAAAUCAUCACAUCUGAAGAAACUACUUCAAAGCUCAGUCGGACUCUCGAAAAGCCAAUCCCAGAACAUGCACUGGAAGGGAUUUGGAAAUGGUUUUCAGAAGAAGUUCACCUUGCUCUGAAGAGGUAAUUAGGUUUAACUUCUUUAUCUUUUUGUAUUUAUGUGUUGUUACAUUUCUGAAACCAGUGCAGUAACCUUAUCUUUUUUAUUGUUUUCAGUAGGUUCACUUGGCCUUCCUGGCCUGAAUUCUUGCCACAUGAAUUAUAACAGGAUCCAGUACGUGGUAAAUUUGACCAGAAGCAGACUAAAGUGGUCCUAAAACAUCAACAUGACUUGCAAAUGAUUUGGGAGCAAAACCAGUCAAUAAGGAGUAAUCAUGUCCAUACUAAAAGAUUUUAUCAAUACUCAAAUUCAAUAGUUUAAGGUCCUCCUCAAGAUACAAAAGUGCUUAUUAGAACAACGAAGAUGAAGUUCGACAAGUACUAAAAGUCUAUCUAGUAUACAUAUACUUUGUUCUAUAACUUUUUACAAAAGGGAAUAUCCAUCCACCUACCACCCUUUCCUUGUCAAAUACGGCGCAGGGAGGCUAGCCGUUUCUCAAGAUCCUCAACAUCAGCAGUUGCAGAGCUGCACAGCAGUUGAAGGGAUUUUCAAAGAUUGCACAAAACUGUAAAUACACAUGGUGUUGCUAGAUUUACCAACCAUGAAGGGUAGUCAUAGAAAUCAACUCUGUUUGAUGCGUAAGUUUGAAAGUUAAAAAUUUCCAGAUAUGCUUUACAAGGGUAGCAUUUUUUUCAAACUCAAAUCAAUUUUGAUAAAAGGUUAUUCAAUAAGAAGUUCAAGCUAGGUUUAGCAAACCAAAAACCAACAUGGGAUGCAGGAAGCAUUCGCAAAUGUUGUAGAAAAUGCUUUCCAGGGGUAGCACUGUUUCAAUAAAAAUCUUAAUAAGAAAGGUCAAAAAGACCUAGCAGGUUUACCAAAGCCAGAAGAAACCCACAUUAGAUGCAGGAAGCAUUUGCAAACUUUACAGAAUUGUGCCUCAGCAAUGUCCUGAAACUCCCCCAUCAUCCCCAAAGAAAAUGAAGUUUAACAAUUCAGUGCACAGAAACUUCUGACGAUGUUAGGCACUGACGAAUACCUCACAAUAUGAGUUCAUUACCAAUUCCUACUACUAAAUUUCUUGUGCACUUGUUAUGUCACAAAGUUUUACCUAUAACAUCAAUUUCACCACAUUUGUCUUGCAUGAUUUUUUUUUAAAACUUCUAGUUGCCUAGCUAGAAAAAUGGCAGACCAAAAAUAACAGUAGCGUACCACCUUUGUUUUAUUUCAUCGGAAAAAGUAGAGGUUUUAUAUUUCUAUUUUAGUCUGGAAAAUCAAGAAAGGUAAAAAAGCAGGAGACUGAACUGAUAAUCAAACAGUAAGGAUUAAGGAGACAACAAAUGCAUGCUCAAAUGACUACCCCUUCUUUUACUUUAUCUGGUCCAGGACAUGAAAAAGUGGUCAGCCCCAGCUAGAGACUUCAUCGUGUUGAUAAUUUUUGAGCUUUUAUAAAGAUCAAAGAAACAUUUGUAUUACUUGCUUAUUUUUUUCAUUUUUUUGGCAGUGGACUCCGACAAGAAGGCACACAAGACAGUUUAGACACCAUUAUACUCGCAAAAGCAGGCACGUAAUGGAGAACUCCAGCCAGACAAACAAAUUGGAGAAUGCAAAUAGCAUAUGCAGCUAAACCCAUCAUCCAUGAAACACGGAUAGAAAAACAGCUUUUAUUUCCAAGUCCUCGAACAUUUCACAUCCAAAGAAUCUGGUCUUAAAAUGUUUAAAUAUUUAGAAGGCAAUAAGAAAUCAUUUCCUUUUCAGUCAAAACAAGAACAUACCUAGGGGGGCAGCAUUAUCAACUUUCUUUGCUGCAAUCCGACCUUUUGGAGCAGAUGACAGCUGCAAGGAAAAUGGAAAUCAGAAUCAGAAAUUUGAUAGAUUCUGGGAAUAACAUCAAAUUGACAUAAACCAAAUUGCAGAAAGAAAAUCCUCAAAAUAAACCUACCUGUGAGGCUAUAUCCACACCAAUCUCGUCCAGAACCUAGAAAAAAAAAGGGCAUUUUAAUAUUAAAAGUUAAGAGGAUGAGAAAGGACAUAAAAAUAGAGAAGAAAGGUUCAAUUGACAAAGGAAAUGCUAAUAACCUGGUUAGUAAGCUCCUCUGUUUCCUCCUCAGCCUCAUCUUUAUCUAAGGUUUCAUCAAUAGAUUCCGACAUCAUCUCAAUCUAGAGUAAAGACCAAAAUGCAAGUCACAGAAAAAGAAAGGUAAAACUCAAUCUUUUGUUCUAUGUUGGAAAAGUUUAUGAAGCAAAAUAGCUGCACUGUAAUAUCUGAAAUUGUACAGGGCCAAACUUUUGCAGUCAUCAACUGUUCUACAAUUUGUGAGGGAUUGAUCUUACACUAUAAGGUGAUAAUGAAACUACUCGCUAAUAUAGACUAUUUGUCAAAAUAAUGAAGCCUAAUCAAGUUUACCGUCAUAUCCAUCUGCGCCGACUGCUUCUGAAACUCUUUAAUCACUUUAGCUUGUUUUGUGGGUGCCAUUUCCUGAAGAAAGAAGAACAGUGAAAAGGGAUGAGUGGCCAGCAAAGAAUCUCGUCUCAAGUAUCUAAUACAAGAUAUAAACAAAUCUUUAAUUAGGCAAAGUUAUUUACAAGUUAUUAGCAAGCAUUAACUAAUCUACCAAAAUGAUUACAUCAAGGCUAAAGCACGGAUUCAGAAGUCAUCAAAAGUCCACAGUAAAUAGGUUCACAGGAUUCAAAAGGAUAGAAUUGAGUCACAAAAAGGAGAUUUUAAUGCUUUACUGUUGCAUACACUCCAAAGAUUCCACGAGCAUUGCAAUAUCAUAGUACCCAAACUAAACAUAUUAUGCCGCUAAUAAAAGACACUUUGCUUUCAUCGAAGCUCUUAAGUAACAAUAUACUUCGUAGCAGCUCAAAAAUUUUAGAUAUUAUUAUUCCAUUCUACAUGGAACAAUACACUUCGUAGCAUCUCAAAAUUUUAGAUAUUAUUAUUCCACUCUACAUGGAACGGAGCAUCCAGAGUAUAAGACCAGUUCAGAGAUAUCUCAAAUUUCACGACUGGAAGACUAAUUAUGACCAAGAUCAAUCUUUAAAGUAUGUGAAGCUAAAAAAAUAUUCAUGGGGAUAUCUGAGUAAUUAAGCCAUCAAAGUAUUAUACUUUGUCAAGCAUCUAAUAUGUACCUUGUUCAUGGCUGUCAUUGCUUUUGUAGCACCUUUCAUUCCAGUAGAAAUAGAAGUGCUGGCAUAUAGUGCCUGCAAAAGUAACAGGCAGUUGGCUAAAGAUAUCUCAAUUAUACUACUUUCUUGAAACCAAUUCAAGUUGUUAAAGUAAAAGUUACCUGGGUGUGCGUGGCUACACCUCUGAUCUGGGCACGGCUCCCUUGCAAGUUUACUAUUUGUUGCCGUAGCCGAACAAGUUGACGUGCUAAAAUCUUGGUUGCAGCCUGUUUUGCAUAAGUAAAUUUUGUUAUUGAAGCAUUCAGCAAAUUUCUUAUUCAGAUUCAAUUAAAACAAACCUGUGGCAAUUGCAAAUUCAAUAAUUGUAGUUAAUUUUACACAUAAUUGCAAAACGACUAAUUAAGUUCCUGUCUAACAACUCCAUAAUUACAUAUCUCUUCAUGGAAAUGCAACGUGCAGAGGGCACCAAAAUCAUAGUCAGUUGAGUUCAUGAUUUUUCAAUAAAGUUCAUUUGCAUUUUUCAAUAUGAAAAAGCUGCAUCUUCAAGAGUUCUAUGUCAUUAAUAAUUCCAGCAAGGUAAGACCCCGGCCAUUGGCAAGCAGCUACUUUUUUUGGGUCACAUGUACAAGAGAAUGGCAACAUUGUAGCAUGGCCUGAGCUAGAAAAAGGAAAUAAAGGAGAAUAAGCAAUACACAUUCACUGGUCAACAGGUAGUAUCUGGCGUUUCUACCACUUUCUAUUCAACAUGUGAUCCAGACACUACCUAUUGACAGUCAAACCCAUGCAAGUGUUAAUACAAACACCAACAAGAAUUAACUCAGGCCUUAAGGCCCUGUUAAUGAAUAAAUAUCUUAUCCAUGAGAAUAUGCCUAAUCAAGCUGAGUUACUUGGUGAGAACAACAAUAUACCAAAUAAAUCUUAUGCGGAAAGAAAAAAUAAAUUGCAAAUCAGACAACUUGCCUCAUUUCCAGUUUUUGCUGUUUUUUUAAUCUCUGCAACUAGUUUCUUCUCCUAAAAAAGCAUAUCAGCGUUAGAUUUCUGCCAACAAACCAAACAUGUAAUACAAUAUUUAUACAAAUGGCUACAAUCUUCAGAAAGGAAAACAGUAUAGAAGAAAAACAAUGUAAGUGGCAUUGGCUGCAGUAGACACACCUCCAUCUGUAAAGAUGCGAUCUCCCGUUCAAUCCCUGAAGAAAUACACGAGAAAUGCAUAGGUGAGGAUAGGCCAAAAUAGCUGGAAUGUUUCAUAUUUUUGUAGCUUCUACAUAAUGUAACACUACCAUUGACACUAUUCAUCCUUCCCUUGAACUCUCACUUCUCAAGACUGUAUUUUGUGCAAAGAGCCAAAUUUCUUGAAUAGGGACAAAAUCAGGAUUAAAUAGCUGAGUCUUCCUGGUCCAAAAGUUAAGCAUUUCAGAACACCGUGAAGUGUUCUCCUUUAGCGGACAAACCAUCUAAAGAGAUAACACAGAAGAACCAAUCAGCUCUCUAAAUCUAUAAAAUAUCUCUUCCAAUUUAGGGCGGACGAAAACAGCAGAACCUAACAAAGACCCAGCGAGAUAAGCUCAGCUUGAGGGGCAACAAGGAAUAAGCAAUGUUGUUAAGGGCUUCUCACCAUUUCCAGAACUGACUUGUUGAAUCUAAAUCCCUCCCAAUAACACCCUAACAGGAACGUUACGGGAAAGAAAACUCUGCUCAAACUUGAGGGGCAAGGAGUAAGCAAUGUUGUUAAGGGCCUUCUUACCAUUUCCAGAGCUGACUUGUUGAAUCUAAAUUCCUCCCAUACAAAAAGAAGGUAACAAGAAAGAAAACUCUGCUAAAACUUCAGCUACAACUCAUUCGAGCUUAGUGAGACGCUGUUUCUAUCUCCAUAUUGCUGCUAACUACAUUAAAAUUCAAUGUUUACUUCUACCAGUUGUGCUAAAUACUCUUCGAGAGUUUUUCCAACUUUCUCUUGGAAAUUGGAACAAAAUUUUCAGCAACAAAAGCAUAUGCAUAUGAAAGUGGGAGAUAUUCAGGCUAUAAUGGGAUUCCAGAUAAAACCCAAAGUCAUAAGAAUGUGCAACAUUAGAACCACCUGUAAAAGAUGGGAAUUGCCAAUAUUCCAUUAACUGUGGAGAAAUGUAUCACAAGAACAGCUAGGAGGCAGAAGCUUGAUUUGAGUAAUCAAACAAAUUAGAUCUACAAUGACAAAAGAUAGACAAAAGCAUGAUCUGCCUAAGCAUGGUUGGCUGGAUUCCAAAAGUAGUUACACUAGAACACUCCAAUCAGAGAUUGAAUCAAGGGAAGAGAAGCCUAAGGCUAAUAAAGUUAUCAAAUACUACUACAAGCCAUUUUGAAUAUUUAGCUAGUAUCUAGGAAACCUAAUUCCUACAUGGUAUGUUCAUGUCUAGUACUGGUCAAUAUGACCUAAAUCUCUGCUGCAGAAAGACUUCAAGCCCAUUUAGAAGAUGGGAUUUAAGAUGAAAUAUUUAAGUUUCUAGCAAUUCAGGGUUCUAAACUAUUGCAUAAGGAGUAUCACAGUGCGUCUGCUUCUUAGCAUUGGGUGAUCCCUAAGUUCCUAAUCACUGAGCAAUCCUUUUGUUAAUUUUCAUUGUAAAUUUAUGUUAGAAUGUACAAUGUUUAGUGCAUUGACAUCAAACUAACAUCACAUAUCCAGCCCAAACAUCUACAUAUUAAGAGUACAAGCAAGUUCCCCUGAUUUAGCUAGUAUCUAGGAAACCUAAUUCCUACAUGGUAUGUUCAUGUCUAGUACUGGUCAAUAUGACCUAAAUCUCUGCUGCAGAAAGACUUCAAGCCCAUUUAGAAGAUGGGAUUUAAGAUGAAAUAUUUAAGUUUCUAGCAAUUCAGGGUUCUAAACUAUUGCAUAAGGAGUAUCACAGUGCGUCUGCUUCUUAGCAUUGGGUGAUCCCUAAGUUCCUAAUCACUGAGCAAUCCUUUUGUUAAUUUUCAUUGUAAAUUUAUGUUAGAAUGUACAAUGUUUAGUGCAUUGACAUCAAACUAACAUCACAUAUCCAGCCCAAACAUCUACAUAUUAAGAGUACAAGCAAGUUCCCCUGAAAGGCUCUGGCUCUGUCAUUUAACAAUAGUAAGUAUAAUUGAAGUGGUUAACUCUGAUAUAUAAUAUAUAUAUAUAUAUAUAUAUAUAUAUAUAUAUAGACCACAUGGUAAUUUUAAACUAAAAAGUGAUCAAAAACUUAAAUAGGAACACAAUUUUAUUAAUUUAAAUUUAUAAAAAAAAUGUAAAGUUAACAUUUUAAAAAUGAUGAAUAAAAAAAUUCAUUUGACUCAAAAUCUAUUGAACGAUUUUCCCUUGCUAGUACUCAAGGAAAAAGACCAGUUAAUGCUGAUAGGCUCUUUUUUUUUCUUUUUUUUUUUGUCGGAUAUAAUAGACCUAUAACAUUCUAUACUAAAGAGAGAGAAACCUAAAGAGCCCCAAGGAUAAUGUGAAGGAGACCGAACCACCAUUAAACCAUACGGAUUACACCCGUAUAGACUGUUGUUUAGCAAGCCCACAUAUUAUGACAAUUGAUGUGGUUCCAGUUAAUGCAGAUAGGCUCGUACACAGCGAAUAAUGCAUGCAUUCCACUCGGUGCGCAAUUGCCAAUUCGGUUUUACGCCAAAGAUUCGGAGUUAAAUAAAACAAAGAAAAGUUCUUACACUGCAAUUCCCGGGACUCUCAUAGAUCACGAGUUGCAACAGAUUUACACCAACUCAAUAUAUAUUUUCCAUAGAACUGACAGAAGCGCAAGAAACAAAUAGUCUAUUGAAUUCGGAGGUAAAACGAAUCAUAUUAAACGCAUACUUGAAUCAGAGAAAGAUAAUUUAUGCAGUAGUUUCACAUCCGCACAUUGCUCAAUUGAUCCGUACGAUAAUAUAUCAACCUGAAAAAAAUUGGAUGACAAAACUGAAGAACAAAAAAAGGAAAAAAUAAAAAAGGGUAAAAACUCAGCAGCCCCAUACUAAAACAACAAAAUCAUGGGGCAAAAUGAACUGCACAUAUCUGACUCCUUUUCAGCUGUUUUAGGAUUUCUAUAGACAAUGGUUUCGCAAAUGGUACACAUGAUUUCUAAAAACAACAGUUAAAAGAGAUCCUCUCCUCUCCUGCACAUUCGAAUUUGCACGAGGAGUGAUACAUUGAAAGAGCAAACGAACUCCUGCAAGUCCAAAGUUACCAAGAAAGUGAGAUGACUAUUUUGAUGCCUUCAGUUUCUCACUCUAAAACAGACGGAACGCAUAGUACUUACUAGUUGAGUCAGCAUCAGAAUAUUUCAUGCAGUGCACAUGUUAUCAAAGUUUCUAUAUCACAUAAGCUGAUUUCCACACACAAACUAAAUUUCACGUCAGUGCAAAAUACAAGCAAGCAGUGCAUGAGAAUCUUUUUCAAUUGCUUGAUAUGAUAAGAUGCUUUCAGAACAACUGUUACACGUGUUCUUUGUUCCCUUAUUCAAGAGGCACACAAUCAUCUUCACUAAAACAUUAUUGUCAUAGCUAGUUAAUAACCAACGGUAAAUUUCUUAUACAACCCAUACCAUUGAAUCCUGAAACGAGAAAAAGGGGAUGGGAGCCUAGAAAUUUGCAAAAGAUAGCAGGUUAUACAAUUUAACAAGAAUUACUCAUCUUAUUGAAGGUUCACCUAUGUCACUAAACUAAACAAGCACCCCCAGUCAGAAACUCAUUGUCAUGAGGAUGGCAAAUGGUUGUAUUUCGAUGUCACCCCUCAAAUCAUCCAGUGCGGUUGUGCUCAACAUGGUGAGUUUCACCAAGUACCACAUGCAAGCACACUUUAGAAUUUUACACCUAUUGUGCCUCUGAAUCAAAAUUUUGAACUAAGAGAAGCAAAAGGCCCCUAAUAAAGACAAAAUAGUAUUUUCACAACAUAAAAUUCAUGUACUCAAGUUUUGGAACGUCUGGAAGAGGAAACUGUGGUAGUAGCAAUGGCACAACGAGAGCAUUACAUGCUUCUGGUCGAUCUUUUAUACGACAACUCAACCACCCUAUCCCAACACCAUUCAGGUUGAAAUACAAGUCAAUAACAUUGUGCUGUUAAAUAAGCAAAGCUAUUAAAUGAAGUCUAAUACCAUUCAUCUACCAACAACUUUGACCUUUAAGUUCUCUUUCAUUCUCAUCUAUCAGAUAUACAAUAUAAGGAAAAUGACAACUAACUGAUCCAAACAAAGGAAGUCAACCAGCUGUAUCUUUCUCAUACUUCCACCAAAAGAAAACAAAGCAAACUCAGGUAAUGGGAGAUAAGUAAAAUCUUAUAAAUUUUUUUUUGGGGGGGGGGGGGGGGAACAAAAUGACGAAAUAUGACAAUUCUCUUACCUCAAUUGGAGGUAUAACAAUCCAAUUAUAGGCUUAUGGCACCUCAGAUUGUCCCAGCAGAUACGAUUAGUUGUUAAUCCACAAUUAUCAACUAACUACUUUACAAGCAUCUACGGAUCAACUUCUCUGCCAAAUCUUUGCACCAAGAGUUCAUCUAGUUGCCCCCAAUUUGGUGGACUAGCGUCACUCCAAUUUCCAGAAGGCAAUGAUCUAAUGCAUUGAAGAAGGCUCUCAAUAUCACGAUGAAGUCUGUUUGAAGGGGGAAAAGAAUCCAAGUCAAAUAAGAAUCCACCGGAAAAGUAAAGAGAGACAUUUUUCAAAUGAAGGGAUCAUAAGAAGAAAUUAACCAACUCUUAAGAACUCAAAAAUGCGUGCAAGCUUCAACAUAUAACUACCUGGUUUUAGCUUGUAGAGUGCUAAUAUCAAUUUUGGAUAAUGCCUCUGAAAUUUGGGCAUGGAAUAUCACAACCACUUGCCUGCAAAUAGCACACAAUGCAGUGCAUGAUGAUCAGCUGAAGAUGAGUAACUUAAUGAUAUUGCGAGCACUUGUGGUAGAGGAACACUUUGACAUUAGUAAGAAGGGAUAAUUCUCAGGGAGAAUUCUCAACUUCUUAUUAACACUAAAAGAACAACUGCUUAUUACCAUUUUGAUGUUAAUAAUAAGGGAGAAUUCUCAACUUCUUCACACUGAAAGAACAAGUUGAUUAAAUGAAGGUAGACUAAUUAACCCUGUAAAAUGAACUCAAAAAGGGAUUGACUGCUUGGUAUUAGAAUUAUGGCUAGAUAUGGGAGAGUUCAUUUCUUACUGGAUUAAAUAUUGUAUUACUCUGCCAAAUAUCUGCUAAUUCUCUAACCAAUACUCUCUUCAUUGUAUACUACCAGAUAAGUGGGAAAUACAAGAAACACCACAUGCAAAAUAAUGUAAAACAGAUAAUUCCAUAUUUCAAAUUGAAAAUUUCUUAAUCCCAGAGGACUUUAAGUAUAAACAGACUCCUGCUUUCUGUUUUUUUUUCCCCCAAAAUACACAACUAUUGACAAAGGAGUGCCAAUACGUGAAAGCAUUUUUCCAGAUUAAUCACAAUAAUAAAAGGUCGUUUGGGGGCCAACGGUCACAGUGAGGAGGGAGAAUGGUGGGGGUGCUCGUGUUGAUGUGCAAUUUUGGUAUUUUGGGGGUUGUUUUUGGGUGUGCUUUUUCGGGUGUUUCUACAAAACUAAGUUGUUUUUAGAGAGCUUUAAAUUGUUACCACAUAUGGUGUUUAUAGAUGAACUUUGUACUUCUAAAACAGGCCAAAAACAGGCCUGUCAAACAGACCUAAGGAUCAUAGAUACAGACCAGAAGAACAUAGUAAUAGGCUUACACCAAAAAUUCCUGUCUAUUCGCAAAAAACACAAGUUUCGUUUUCAGAUGCAGACUACUAGGAGGUAGGUUCAAUUCUUUUACCAACAUAUAUUCAAUCACAACAUCCCUCUCACUGAUAAUUAACAAGCUAAUAUUUGAUUUUGUGGUGAGCAUUUUCCAACUUUACAACUAUGGCUCUUCUGAUAAUUGAUUAUUGAGGCCCUGAUACCUUAACAUUUCCAGGUAACUACUGCCAACAGACUUAAGCCAAUGGUAUUGUGAUCUGUUUUUCCGUUCAGCACUGAGAUGAUAUAUUAAGCUCUUGGGAAUAAAGCCUCAUAAGACAAAGAAACUUCGUUCAAUGACCAGAUUUGUCUCAAACUCAGCCUGUUCAACCUGAAUAAUUAGCUCUAGGAAAUUCAACACAUAAAAGAGAAUCAUACAAGAUCGGCUCUAAGGUAGGAGGUGUACACUAUCACAAAGCCAGAAGAAAAAUCUGGUAGGCACACAUGAUUAAGUAUGUCCUACAUGAAAAAGGAGAGCUAGAGAUAGAAGGGCAAGAAAAAGGUGACAUGGACUCCUUAUGAUGUCAAAAUUAGAUCAAACCUGAAGAUAGAUUGAACUUCAAACUCAUGUAGAGUACGGGAUAAGACACGCUGUAGAACGUUAACUUCCUGCAAAGAAAGUAGACAUCCACAAACUGUCAAAGCGAACUCGUAUUUGGACACUGUGCCAAGCAAACCCUUCACUCAAAAUCCAAACCAAUCGUAGAGAUGAAUGAAUACAAAAACAGAGAUAUUGUAACUAACCUAAACUGAACAAUGAAACAGGUUCUGGAACUCUAUCAAGAGCAAACAUUCAUUUCAAUAAAGGCCAGAAAGAGUUUUCACAUCAAGAUGUCUACAUUGAGCUCAAACUGUGAAGCAGCGGAAUGGCUACUUUCAGUCAUGUCUCCAUACUUUUUCCCCAUCUCCAGUGGGGCGUGAGUGCACAUGACAGACCUAACUAAAACUAACAUUAUGAGAAGGCAGGAGACUCAGUGCAAGCUGAGAAACUGGAAUGGCUGAGGUUUUCAUUUCUGUCUCAGAUUGGAGUUAAUGACCACAGUUUCAUGUCGAUUUCCCCAUUGGUAAAAGGAAAACUUCUGUCAAUAUUCCAAAAGGCUCUUAAAAUGUAAACAUAAGGAACUUUUUUGUAAAAACUCAAGGCAGAAAAUUGAUCAGAAACCGAUGUAUUACGAGGCACAAGAUGAUUACUAUCCCAUGGUCUAACUAAUAAGAAUCACAGCCCAAAAUCUUACAAGAAAUUUAAUAUGCUGAUGCUAAAAAAUAAGAAUUAAAAGCUUAUACAGUAGUUCUUAACAGCUUCAACAUAGUGGUUUAACUGAUUGAUCCAAUUCUUUUGCCACAGGUUGUGUCUUAGCAAUGUUACAUGCAUAUAUGCAUUUUCAUUUCAAGCAUUUCUGGGUUAAAGCAAGUCCCAAUUUCUCACGAAGAAAAAUUUCUCUGGUUCACCAAAGGAAACCUCUAGGAUUAAACCUUCAUGGUUUACCAUUAUUAUACAUCUAUGGGGCCAAAUAGAAGUGGAGAGUAACUAUGAAAUAGACAUACAUGUAGACAAAACAAAGAGCUGCAAGAUCAUUUACAAGGGAAUUUUUCUUGUGUGUAUGUCCAGGGAGAAAGAGAAUUUAAUGUGGGAUGGCCAAUGCACAGCCGAGGGUUACCAUCAGCCAGUCCGAAAGUACAGUUGCUCAAAAAAAUUAGGAAAAGGGCAUCUUAGUUGACUCUGGUGAUGCCAAGUGAGCAUGAAAGAGUCUAUAAGAUGGCAUAAAGGAAGUGGAGCAGGCCAAAGAAGAUCACGAAUCAAAUCCAUGCAAUAACAAGAGGUUUGGGCCUCCAAGAGCAGGUUGUAUAAACAUCUAAUGGUAAAAUAUUGUACUAAAAGUUGUAGUCUUAUUAUCCUUUGGGUCACAAACAGACAUACUGUACCAAGGCAGUAUACUACAAUAAGAGGAAGGCAACAAACCAGAAGUUCAACUACAGCAUAUCAUAUAACAACUCACUGCUCCUACCCACCUUAGUGAUAGACCGAGCAAACUGACUUGGCUGUGUAUUGGAAUCUUCAGAACUGCUCCAACUCUCAACAAUUUCUGGCAACCCACGAAGAUGAAAUAGCAAUCUUUCUUUCAUAAUCUGAACCAGCUUUGAGUGUAUCUCAUCCUGGUGAAUUUUAUAAUCCUAAUAAUAUGGAGAACAAGAAAGCAUCCAUUAUUAACAUGUUUGACAUGAAGGCCGAAUUAUGCAUUUAGUUUUACUGCUCUAAUCCAUUUUGGGACUAAAACUCAUAAAACAACCAUAAAUGCACUUGAUUUAGCAUCCUAUGGUAUGAAAUCAGAUGGAUAAAAUUCAAGCUGCAUUUUCCAAUACAAGUUGUUGGACUUUCAGGAUUCAUGUAUCACUUCCUCAAUUAUUUUCAACAACAACGGAAGAUACUUGCAGGUUGUUUUGCUUACUUUUCAUCAUGUUUUCCAAGACAGAGAAAACCUGUAAUAAAGAUUUGAAAGCUCAAAAUGCAAUGACUACACCGAAAGUUUGAUAAACUAUUAGGUCAAACCACAUCAGAAAACCUUACAAAAUCCUGAUAGCUCGGUACGUUAACCAUUUGCAUAACUGAGCAGAUUCCUAAAGACAACUAAGACAAUCUGAAAAUUCAUAUCUUGGACAUUUCAAGGUAUGAAGUCAUGAACACGGACAAAGUAAAACAUUGAAUGAAGCAUUGGCUAUAACCAGCAGAAUAAAAAUACGGCUUUUAGAAGCCUUAAACUAAAAGCUAUCAGCUUCUUUAUGAGCCAGAAGGCCUUUUAGUCUAAAGGAGCAGUUAUUGGCGUCAGACAACCAAAACCAAUUUUUUUAGUCUAUAAUUAAUGUCAUCAGCUAAUUCCUAGUUGAUUCAAAAGAAUUAUUAUUGACUCGUAGUUUAUUAUCAACAAAGUUCUGUUUUCUUACAUAUAGAUGCAUGUGAAACAGAAGAAAUGUCAUGAAAUAUUGCAUACCUGUGUCACUCGAUCAAACUCGAAUGCAAUCACAGUCUUCCGCGUCUCAUGUACUUUAGAGAAAAGAAUCCUCCUGAUUUCUUUUCCAUGCAGAGAGCAGUCAGAAACUUAGGCAUAGUUUUACAAUAGUCAACUGAAAAUUAGAGCUUAUAAAAAUCAUGAUGAUACAGCACAUACAAAAUUAUGUCUCCUUGAGAAAGAAAUGUCUCAUUUACAUGGUAUUGUUCACAUAAAGGCAAGGAGAUACAGAAUAUUUUUGUGUAUAAAUUUUGGUAUGCAUUCAAGUUUAGCCAGAGUAAUCACUAAGCAUUCUAGAAUGCAGGAAUGCCAAAAACUUGAAGUGCAAAGCAUAUCAAGCAAGGCGGAGGUAAUGAAGCUCGUAUCCUACACUCUGCAGGACUGAGGUGAUAUUGGCUGCUUUUAUCAUGCAAUUUCUUGAGAAAGCAGAGCUGGCAAGAAAUGGGAGAAGUCGGAUGAAAAUACAAAGUCAGCUUUAAACAGUUAUUCUUCGGUGCUAAGUAUAUCUUAGAAAAUUUAAUAUUCCAAAAGUAUGUAAUGUUGCCUCCGACGAUGCCAUGCAUAAGUCUGCCAGCCAAAAACUUUAAAGGUAAAACUAUGCAUUGCAUUUCAAUACAUUGUGCUCAAAAAAGGGUAAAAUCUCCACAUAUUCCACUAUCUCCUUAAGUUCCAGUUAAAAUUACUUCUGUUGGUCAACAUAAUUCCAUUCUCAUUUAUACAACAAUAGAUCUUCAACAUUUUCCGAGCACUCCUCUUCGUCAAACUAAUACACUUUGGGACAUAGCACAUUACACAUGAUAACACUAGGCCCGCAUCCAGUUUUCCUACUUUCAUUGUCUUUCCUUUCUUUGAGCUAAUAAAAUCAAUAAUCAAAAACUACAUGCAAAAUCCUUUAUGGCCUGGCACGAAGGUGGGAAUAGAGUAUAUCCAAUUCCUGGCAACCUCAUAACAGAAAAUUGUGCUGCAAAAAAAUAAUGAUAGCACGCAUGACUCAAUAAAAGUGCCACAAACAAACAUGCACAAACAUACAAGGCAAUAUGUCACUUUCAUCCCAUGUUGACUACUAUCUCUAAGCUCCUGUUGUCAAAGGUUUUGUCAUCCAUAUAAUGUCAUGUAUAUUUAUGUUGCCAAUUCCAUUAGUCAAAAGAAACAGCUAAAAUAACAAAAAUAAAAAAAAAGCAAUAUAUCCCAAUUUUUUCAGAACAUGCAGGAUAAUAUUAUGCAUAUUUAUCAUACCAAAUUUCAUUAGCCAAAAAGUACGCGAAAUAAGACAAGGAAAUAUGUCACAUGUUUUCCAGGGCACCAAUUGACAACACAAUACUGAAGCUCCUAGGUCGAGUUAUCUUAAAAAUAAAUCAAUUCCUUCAAUCUAUUAACCAUUUGCCAUGUGAAAAUCUACCUUCAGGCAUCCUACUCAGGGAAAAACUUUUUUGUGAACUGCAGGUGUGAUGUAGAGAAAUGACAUUUUCAUCAACUCAGUGUUAAUAUCCAUAAGCACAAGCCAACUAAUUUGCCAUAGAACAUUGAAAUUGCAGGAGAUUUAACAACUACUACCUACCAGGAAUGACAGCAUACGUAAAGCCGAUGACCUGACUGGACAAAGCCAGAUGCUUAGAAGUAAUAGACUUCAGACCAGACACCUGCAAUGCAAUUAAGAUUCAAAUGAAAACUCAUAGAGGCCAAGUAAAACACAAUCACUGAGAAGACAAACAUUCAGGAAUAGAAACAUAAAUGAACAUAAACUUACAAGUGAAAAUGUGAACUAAGUUAAUUCCAACAUAGAAGAAAGACAAAAGAAAUAAAUAAAAAUAAGUAAAUAACCAAAUAAAAAUCAACCAAUGACCAAAAGCAAGGCCAAUAGCCUGAAAAGCCUGUUAUAUGUGGCAGCAAAUGUACAAAACUCUUUCCAGCAAUGUCACAUGAAAAAAUAUACCAUACAAUCAACCACCAUGCCUUCCCUUUUCUAUUUUUGAAAAACCUCAGAAAAGCAGAGGUUCCAAUCCAAACCAAUAACUGUAAGUCAUCUACUAUCAAACCUAUUGAAGAAAUCUUCCUGGUGGCAAAAACUCUAAGUGAAAAACUCCUAAGUCAGUUCAACACACAAUUCCAAUACAAAAUUUUUUAUUUAGCAUCAAGUCGCGUAUGUGCAUCAAGAGUUUCAUACGAAAACACUGUAAACCGCCAACAGAUUUAUACUAGCAACAAAAGGCAGAUGGCAUGUAGUGAAAAAAAAAAAGGCAAAACUAAAAACAAAAAUAAUAGGGACAUUCAUGACAAUCGCAUCUUAUGGUUAUCUCAUCUCCAAGAUAGCUCAAAUGGAAGUAGCAUUAAUAUUUGGAUGACUUUAUUAUACACUAUCAGUGUAUAAUUUUUUUUACACUAGCAGGUUUAGAUCAUGCCAUAUAAUAUGAAUUCAAAUUUGAAAUUCAAAUCAUGCACAUGUCGAAUACAUUCAAAGCUGCUAUUGUAAAAAAAUCACUACACUGUCAAUGCAUAAAAUGUUAAUCCGUAAAAUUUUUUAGAAGUCUUUUGAUACAAAGUAUGGGUGAAAACAUCCACAAUGGACAGCAAACCAAUAUCACGUAUUCAGCACAAAAGCUGGCAAAAAUAUGUUCAACAGAAGAAAGAUAUCAAAAUUCUUAAUGACUGCAUUUCCUCUCAAUUUAGUUUAAACAAGGGACAUGGUCCAGAGAAGUAUGCAAAAUCGAAAGGAGGACAGAAUUCAGUGGUCAACAACGGGUACAUUUCAAAGCAAAUGCUGAAGUUGACUAAUUUAUAAUUACUGCAAGGAGACUAAAGAAAUAUAUAGCUAGAGAAACAGAUAACCAUCCACUGAUUCUAAUAAAUGAAAUGAACUGGCAGCAAGAAGUACAGGCAUCUUCAAGAUUUAAGCAAAAAUAUGAAGUUACUAAUCACUAGGUCAAGUAGUACCUGCAUGGCUCCAGCACCAAGAACAAGCUGAGCAGUUCUAGUAUUGAAAAAUUUCAAGAGCUCCACGAGACGCUGACCAAUUUCUGGAGAUUGUGCGGGCAAAUACGUAAUCAUCUCAAUGUAUUCUGACAACAUCUUUACCAAAAUCAAGCCACUGAAAUUUCAGGAAUAUGGCUUAAAUUUUAGUGCAAGUUCAAGGAAAACAACAGCAUACAGUAAAGGCACUUAUAAUGAAACCACCAUCAUGAUGAACGGUAAAAUAAGUCACUAGGAUAAAAUAUCCCAUAAAAAUACGCAAAAUUGCAUUGAAUUUUACAGCACCAGAGGACCAAAGCAGCUUGUAAGUAGAAAAUUAUAGUAAAAACACAGCAAAGGAGGACCUCCAAAUGAAAUAGCAACAUAUCAAACUAAAAGAGCAAGGGGAAAAGCAUUGUCCUGUCACUCACCAAUUUACCAUGUGAUAUGCAAGGCCCUUAAAUAACAGAGUUCUACAGGAAGACCUCCCACGUUCCCUGUGUCUAGCAUCACUACUUUGAGCUACAGAAGUAUCAUUUUCGGUAAUAUUGUUCUGCGCUGGCAGAGGCUGCACAACACUAUCUCCACUUGAUCCAACGGAAUCAAUCCGGUCAACAUUUUGGGUUGAAUUUGAACCAUCACCGUUUGUGCCCAUUUCACCAUUCCUUGUUGCUAUAUCAACAGGAGGAUCAUCUGUGUCCCCACUUACUAGCAACUCUGAAGAAAACAAUGAAGUGACAAUGUUCUGAUAUUCCUCAGGCACGUCUAUUUCAUUCCAAUUUUCUUGUUCAAGUAUAGCUUUCAUCUUGGUCAUCUGCAUAUACCAAUAUUUCAUAGAUAAAUCACAAUAACAAGAAGCUAGGAAAGAAUAAUAGAACUCUUCAAACAGAACUGCUAACCUGAGAUUCAUGGUGGCACUCAACAAAAUUUUUAGCUUGUGACUGCAAUAUCCCACGAAUGCUGUAUCCCAACCUUCCACCAAUCUGUUUAUGUUAGCAGGAUAUGCUAUCACAACCACAAUCAUGUCCACAGGUAUCUAUAAAGGAAUUAUAGUUAUCAUAACACAAAAAGCAAGUAGUACCUUCUCUGUUACAUUCAUGAAUUCCAGAGUCAAGUUAUAAACACUUAAAAACUCCUGUAACCUCAACUUUUCAUGAGUUUUAGCACGCACUCCAAGAAGCUUUGCCCAUCUAUGAUGAGCAGCAUCACAAGCAGCAACCACAGCUUCUGUGUUCUCCCUUAAAACAUCAGUUCUGAAAUUAAACAAAAAGGAUAUCAAUUAUAUUAAUAUUAGUCAUCCAGUAAGCAGCAUAUAAACAUCAGCUUUUUAAGACGUAGAAGCUUAAAGAUAGAAUCUCUAGACUUUAUUCUGUUCUUUUGUGUAGAUAAAUAGUAAGCUGAAGAUUCUGGAAAAUAGUGACGCAGCACAACAGCUUGGUAGGCCGAAAAGAUUUGUAGGACAGGCUUUGGGCUUUGAAACUUGCAGUCAAUAGCAAAAUUAGGCAACAUCACAGGUGCCAAAAUUCUCUAAGAUUCAGAACAGAGAACUUGAAUAAAAUCACAGGAACACGCAAACAAGGAGAUCAGAACACUCUAGGAAUCACUACAAGAAAUCUUUAGAAUCAAAGUAUGCAGGGACGUUAUAACAAACCUUCCUUAAUAACUCCAAUUCUCACAACUAAAAUACUAAUGAUCAAAAGUAAUAUCCAAACACAAAACUUUGAUCAACAUAAAUUUCCUGUAACCAACUGAAAUUACUAAAAUACCCCUGGUGGCUAAAAUCAGAAAAAAGACUCCUUAGGACACAGACAAACUUCCUAGUAGGUUCCUUAGGUGAUUGCUUGCCACGCCACUUAUAAACCUUAGGUUAUUUCUGCCAUUUAUCUCAAUCAGAUAGAUACUAAUUUGUUUCACUAAUGCAUCCAAUCACAAAAAACAGAUAAAGAAAUAAGAGCAAGGAAAGUCAUCAAAUCCAUGUCUUACUCCAGAAUCAAAUAGCAGAAGUUCCCAGAUGUUUUACACACAAGCCAUUUAACAAAUUAAAAGUACAAUGUUUUCCACUAUGAGACUAAAUUCACCAUUAAGAAACAAAAACAAAACGGCAGUUGUUGAAUUUUUAUUUCUACAUCUGUUUCCAUUAAAUAUCAAAACAAGCCCUUCAAAAUUAUGGAAAGGGAAAAGCUUGGGAUUGUGCAGCACUUGCUCUUUUCUAUGUAAUAGAGAUGAAAGAAAUACUAUGCCUUUCAGAGUUAAAAAAUCACCAUGCAUAACGAACCACUACAUAUUCUCUGCAUGUCUCCUCGAGUAAGCAGAUAAGUCCUACCUUCACAGAAUCUUGAAUGAACUUUUUGUCCAAAACUUCCAAUAAUAAUUCUAUACCUCUUAAACAUGGAAAUACUCUUUUGUCAAUAAAAAAGUCAUUUUACCAAGUGUGGACAAAGAAAAAAAUACAAAAGCCCUCCAUAUAAUUCCUAGCAGAACCCAUUAACAGUGGCAUGCAGUUUCUCUUUUCAAACUAGACUUCUUUCAAAUGACUCAAAUGCUGCCAAGAAAACAUUAAUAGUCCACAGUAACCAAAUCUAUAACUGAUUAUUCUAGUUGACAACGAAAGUCAACACUAAGCCCUCUGUAUCAAUUUGCAGCAAAGAAAUACAAACCUUAGCGUAGAUAAAAAUUUCCCUCAAGAUAUCUUCUACCAUUAACAAAGAUAACCUCAUUUUUUUUCCUUAUAUUUUCCCCUUCUUCUGAGCACGUUUGAGGAAGCCAUAAAUACUCAACAAGAAGGAUGAGAAGGAAAAGAAAUAACCGAAAAUCUCCUGAUGAAUCUGAUGGCCUUGUUGCAUCAUUGUCUCUAGCAUCUCCGAUAGAUGAGUAUGACAAGAGAUUACUGCCAUGACUAUCAGUCUCUUGAGUUGUUUCUGCAGCUGCUGCACCAACUGCUAUUGCAGCAGCAACAGUAUUAGCAGCAUAAUGACCCUCACGACUGCACAUUAUCCACUCAAUUGCUUUUUUUACUUCAGAAGCUCGCACUAAGUGUGCCUGCAUUCACUAAAACAAAGAAUCAAGUUACCAUUAGAAUAAAGAACGCAGAAGCCAAAUACCAAAUAGAUUUCACUUAAUGAUGGAAACAUAUAAUCACACAAUGAAAUAAUUCUUUAAAGACCUGCAGGAAUUUCUCAGCCCCACAGGCCAAUUAAGUGAGAAAAACUUCUUAAAUGAUAUUCUAAAAUUUUCAUAAACAAAUCGGCAGUCUUGCUGGAAUUCCUGCUGCAAAUAAACCAUGUUCAUCAAGCACCUUCAUAUAAACCAUGUUCAUCAUUGUAAGGAACAGCCUCCCCUUCCCUCCCUUCUAGGGCUGUCAACGGGCCGGGUCCGGGCCGGAAUUCAUUAUUCCGGACCCGGACCCGAAUUACUAUGCCGGAUCCGGACCCGACCCGUUUACCCGACGGGUCCUUUAUUCUACGUUCCGGAUCCGGAUCCGGCGGUCCCGGAUCCGGAUCCGGGUCUACCCGAACAAAUUUACCAAAUUUUAUAAUUUCUAAUAAAAAUGAGAAAAAAAUAUAUUUGUAAACUAAUUUCUAACUAAUGCAAAGAAAAAAUCAAAUAAGAAAAGAAAUCAAAUUAACUUUAUUAAAAUACAUCACCCUAAUCAAAUUAUAUUGAUAAAUAUAUAUUUUUUAAAUUAUUAAUUCAUUUAUAUCCGGAUCCGGGUCUAAUACGGGCCGGAAUACUAUAUUCCGUAUCCGACCCGUUUUUUUGUUUGACAAAACGGAUCCGGAUCCGGAUCCGGGAAACGGAAUUAAAUCCCUACCCAUACCCGCAUUAAUUUCACGGAUCCGGUCCGGAUCCGGGUCUAGACCCGACCCGUUGACAGGCCUACUCCCUUCUCUCCCCCCCCCCCCCCCCCCACAACACAAAAAAAAGGGGGGGUGGCAACAAGGAGAAAGAGAAACAAUUUACGAUAAUGGAAAACAGAGUAAUAACAAACUAAAGAAUCUCUUGGGUCGUGCGAAAAUCAAAUACUUUUGGUUCUUCCAACGGGAUUGAACUGAUCCUUGAAACUCUAGUGCUAGAAUUGAAUUCAAAUGAAGAAAGUCAGAAUUUGAUGCAGCUAUCUAAAGAUUGCAGGAACAGGAACUAAUUCUAAAGAUUAAAUAAGUAGGUUAUCAGGCAAAAGGAUACAGGAGAUUCUUGGAAUAUUACCAAGGAUUUAGUAGGUAUCACUUUAGAAUAUUACCAAGGAUUUAGUAAGUAUCACUCCAACAAAGGUUAAAACACACCAUUAUAAGAAAUUCUCCUGCAAUUCGUAGCAUCUCCUUUCACAGAGGUGUAUUUUGCAAAUGGUCCCUGGUACGUUUUACUAGGUCACAUCACCUUGUACAAGUCAAAGAAAAAGCCUCAUUUCUAAAGGUUUUGACAAGAGAACACUUAGUCCUAGAAGUAACUAUUUGUCCUAACAAACUUUGAACCAGCAAAAUCUAAAAUUAGAAUUAGGAUUCACCUUUAGUAGUGGCUAAAAACUUGGGGUUAAAAAGCAAAAGCCAACUUGGUCACAUGCUGAGGUUUAACUCUUUUGCAUCAGAAUUAGUUGACACAAGUACAAAACUUUGAUUCAACAGUUAACCACACAACCUUUUUGCAAUAUACUCUAAAGCAUUAGUCAUAUAACCGUCCAACUAUUAAUGGAAGUUAGCUAUAUUGUUGUCAAAUUAGUCAUAAUGCUCUACGAUGAAAAAGCAAAUAUAUUUAUCAUUGCAAAAUAGAGUUUGAUUUGCUGACAGGUAUGCAAGUUUGCUUCCAUGUUAGUCUAAUCCUCUAUGAUAACUAGAUAAAGAUACCAGUCAUUGUAAACUAGAGUUUAAAAUUGUAACAAAAAUUCUGAUAAGUUGCUACGGAAAAGAUUUAUAGAACAUGUAAGAUACAAAAGAGAUUAAUUACACAUUGAUAAUUAAGAAAAAAGAAGUAAACUUGCAAGAAAAGUUUGGGAGAACAAUGUGACAGCAACCCAAAUCUAAACAUAUAUUUCGACGUUUCCUAUUUCAGAGAGAAGGCAAAGAACAUGGCCAGGCUCGUUAAAAAUUCUUUUCAACAUUGAUGGCAACAAGAAACAAAAAUGAGUUUUCCAAAAGAAGAGAAUUGAUGCAAAAGUAUCUUGAGCUUUUAAUAUUUUUUGUUCUGUAACUUAACUUGAUUGCCCAGAAUUUGUUAAAUACUGCUGUAAUUUUUCAAGAGUUCCCUGUGGACAAACUUGGAACAUUUCUGUAUCUAAAAAAGAGGCAUUAUCAUCCAUGCAGCAACUCACAGAAGCAUACUAAAUGGCAAUAAACCAAAGACGCAUAGCUCAAGACAUUAACUGCAUAUGCCUUAAGAGUGAAGACAACUAACCACCUGGCUAUAUGCAAUACCAUUGCCAGAACAAAGAGAAUACAACUUCUGCUAUAUGAAUGGACCAACAAAAAGGCCUGCUGUAUAGCUGAAUCUUUUACAGCAGGAUAAAUGAACAGAACAGACCCUUUGGACUGCUCACUACACAAACUUCUGGCUACUAUGAUAACAAAGAAGAAGUAAAGCUUCCAAAGGACUUACGAAAGUUCAGAACAGCUAUAGGCAGCCUUUUGGAAACUUAUUAUUGAGAAACCACGAGGCAGCAAGUUAAAUCAAAAGGAAUAAGCUAUGUACAUGUUAAAAUUAAUGGGGAAAAAAGCAAACAAAAAGCAAAAAAUGAGCCUUCAUGAACGUACAGCUGAGUCAAAGAUCAACAGCUACUCUGCAUCCUACUACAAGAAUUUAUGGCAAUACAGUUGAAGAGCUAAAGUUAUGUGUCUAGAGUUACUUCAUUAUCAAAUAUUCAUGAAUAGCUAAAAAACUAUUCAGUUUUAUGCAAUCUGAGCAGGAGGAUCACUUCAAAGUGAAAUUGGUAAAAUCUACCCUAACAAAAUAUAGAGCUGCAUUAGUCUUAUUCAAGUCCUCUAAUACAAGAUUACAUGGAAAUGGAAUUCACUGGUGACAGAAAAUGAAUGAAAGAGGAGAAAUACAUAACUGUUUAAGUCAGCAUCAAACUCAUUCGUAGAUCCCCAUAAUUCAAGAAAACAUGCACAAUUUACAUCCAAAAGGAGGGAAAUAGGUGACUCCAAAUACCAUAUAUCUUAAAGAGGAAGGAAACCAUUCAACAAAACCUAAACUAAGGGCAAUCUAAACUAAUGUCGGCAUCAUGAAACAAGACAUCAGUCAUUACCACGUUUGAAGUGGUAAUGACUGAUUUCCAUUUUGUAAUGAACAGUUAACCAAGAGAUAGUUAAUUAAUAUUAAGUCUAAAAGAUGAAUAAAACAGAGAAUGCAGCAUUAAAGUAAUGAGCACAUAUGCAUUACCUGUACGACAAUGAAAAUAGCACUUAAAAGUUGGAGAAAGCAUUCAGGUGACAGAUUUUUCAGCUUAUCUGCAAGCGAGGAACCUCCCCCUGACAAUUUAUGUUUGUCAAAAAGAGGAACAAUGAAAAUAAGAAAGCAAUGUACUAAAAGACAUGGAAUUAUCAUAUGUGCCCGGCAAAGAACUUGAGGAUGAUAUAAUUGACAUCAGCAUUCAUGAUCAAUUGUUACUGACCCAACACCCCCCCUCCAAAAAAAAUAUAAUAAUAAUAAUAAUAAUAAGAGAAACAAACAAAAGAAGUAAAAUAAAAAAAUUCAAUAGUAGCAACUAGCAACAAACAACUAUUGAUGUUGUCACUGGUACUACUGAAGCUGUUCUUUCCACCAUAAAAAAUAAAAAAGAUCUAGAAACAACAAAUGCUUCAGCGAUAUCAGCCACUAACCAAUGACUAUUUAAGCUUCUACAGUACCAAUGGCAACUGGCAUUAUGAUCCCACCAUUAAAAAAAUUUGAGAUAAAAUUUUUUAAAAAAAAACCAAUCAUAAUAACUACCAACCUAGGAAUAUUGAAGGUUCAUUAGUCGUCAGUUGGCAACUAGUGCUGUUGAAGCUUUUCUUUACACAGUAAAGGGCAAAGAAAAAAAAACAAAAGGAUGAAGCGAACAAGCAUGUUAUGAGACCCACCAUCUGUAUUCACCAUUCUUCCACCUGAAAUAAACUCCAAGCCCAAAGAUUUCGCAACAAGAACUGGAAGCAGCUCAGAAACUGCUGCCUUGAAAGCAGCUUUCAUAUCAGCAGUAAGUGUAUCACGAUAUAUUCUCAACACAGCAGGGAGUCUUGCCUGAAAGCAAGCAUCAUAUAUUUAACAAAUUAUCCUAAGUGACACACAUGACUAAACUCUAAACAAAUCCAUAGAAGAUGGAAAAAUCAGUAAAGCAGAGAAAGCAAAAGAAAGAAAGAAAGAGAAAAGAAAAGAAAACAAAGGCAACAAAAAAGUAACUAAACAAAAGCAAAACUAAACACUUAUCACAAAACAUGUUAACAAAAACUUCGAUGAAACCAACUAAAGCAAUUCAUGCACAAGUCAGGUAGACUUGUCAGCGUAUGAGAACAGCAAAAACUCCUAUACCUAAGGAGGAAAAAAGGGGUGAGGAGUCAAAUCAAAUGCUCAGAUGUAAGCCACCUGAAGCACUGCAUAAUUUAAGCAAUCACCUAUGAAAAAAGCACGCACUGCAAAAUUCCAGUAAUUACCUAUCCUGUAAGUAAGCACUGCAUCAAAUAAGUAAUGACCUAUAUGACUCCAUCUAGUUCACACAACAAGUUACUCCUCAUCUUUGACUGAUACAAGCUGUCAAGGCAGUCUAUCUUUAUAUCAUAUAAACGUUUUAUGUAAAAUUUUUCUUUACCUUCAUUGCAAGAGCAAACAAUAAUCUUAGAACAACAACGCAUUUCCUUUUCAUUCAACAUGCUGCCAAAUCAAAUACUAAAGAAAAAUAUUUGACACAGUUUUACAGCCGAAUAAUUCAUCUUAUCAACAAGUAACAAGUCAACAUGAUCUUCAAGAACAAAAAUGGCAUACAAGAUAUAGAACUUACAGUUCUAAGCAAUCCAAUAAUAACAGGAAGAAGCCGAUCACGAAGAUUUGACACCUCUUCUUCAUUUAACUCAGUCUGCAAUGUCAAUUUCAACUUUUAACAUAAGCAAACAACUUAAGCUUGGUACCCAAACAUCAUGUUUUCACGUCUCAGUACAUAGGAAAUCAGCCAAAGUUAGAUCCAACAGGAUGUUAAUAAGCAAUUAUCAUUCAAUAUCAAAAAAUAUAAAUCAGGGAGCAACACAAGCUACUAUUCUUAUUUCACAAAUGCUCAAAGAAAAUUAGCUGGAAAUGAUAUUUAACUUGACUCUUGAGCAUCAUAUACUUUCUUGUACUUGUGCUUCCUCGUUUUCCAAGAUCGCAAGAAUCAAGAAUAUCAGUCUGAAUUAUAUGGGUUUACAAGCAAAAUUACCUAAUAAAUUAGUGUCUUCAACACUUCCCUUGGCCAGGUUUAUAUAGAGUCAUCCUAGGUUUUCUCCACCAUAACUUAACUGAUUAUUAAAAUAUUAUUCGAACAUCCAUUGCUGUGAAAGCCGACCUGGUCUUCAAGACCAAUAGUUACCUUAGUUAAGCAAUUUAUUAUAAAUCUACAAUACUACUUAUGACCAAAUCAAACACAUGCUUGAAAAGUAAAGACUCCUAUCUUUGGAUUCAACGUCCGAGUACAAACCGAGGAGAGAUCAGAAACCACAGCGAUGUUGUUUAUCAUUCUCAAUCCAUUUAUCCUUGUCGAAGAUAUUAUCUCCUAUGAUUAUGGGAGAUAUUAUCUUCCAUAAUUACCUCCCAUAAUUAUGGGAUUUUAUUGCUUAUGAUCAAUCAAGUUUGAAUAGAUAGGAUAUGAGUUGAUUAUGUAAUCCCUAAAAUCAUGGUUCUAUUACCUUAAGUGAUGGCAGAACUAUGAUAGGGUUGUCCUAUAUAUGCCUACCUUGUAAGCAUAUUUAGUUAGUGGGAAAAUAAAGAAAAGGAGAGUUUUUUGUUCAUUUUUUCCUUUUCUGUUAAAGUUUACAUGGUAUCAGAGCUCCGGCUCUGUACCAAUUCCUGCCAUGAACUACCGAGCAGCCAUGACUGGAUCGACUGCUCACACAAGAGAAGACUCAUCCUCGUCUUCAGUAGUUAUCCAAACUACAGAUUACUCCGCUUCAAAUUCUUCUUCCCUACAAAUAACCGUUCAUAAAUUAAAUGGUUCCAAUUAUCUGGAAUGGGCUCAAUCUGUAAAGCUGGCUAUCGAUGGCAGAGGUAAACUCGGCCACCUUACUGGAGAAAUUCAACAACCAGCUGCUGAAGAUCCCAAUUUGAAGAGAUGGCAUUCAGAGAACUCUCUAGUUAUCGCUUGGUUGAUAAACUCUAUGGAACCAGCAAUAGGAAAGCCACACUUAUUUCUGCCCACAGCCAAGGAUGUGUGGGACGCUGUCCGGGAUAUGUAUUCCGAUAUAGAGAAUUCGUCUCAAAUUUUCAAUCUCAAGACGAAAUUGUGGAAAUCAAGACAAGAAGAUAGAGAUGUUACAACCUAUUACAAUCAGAUGGUAACUUUAUGGCAGGAAUUGGAUCUUUGUUAUGAGGAUGAAUGGGACUGCCGUGCAGACAGUGUUCGAUACAAGAAACGGGAGGAGAACGACAGAGUCUAUGUCUUCUUGGCUGGACUAAAUCAAGAACUCGAUGAGGUGCGAGGUCGUAUUUUGGGCAGGAAGCCUCUCCCCUCCAUUCGUGAAGUAUUUUCUGAAGUCAGAAGAGAAGAAUCAAGGCGUAAGGUGAUGCUGAAGUCAUCACCAAAGUCCAAGGCAGAGGAUGAAGUUGAGACUUCAGCAUUGGUUUCUAAGGGGACAGAUUUGGACGGGGAUAAAAGAAGGAAGCCUUGGUGUGAACACUGUAAAAAGUCGUGGCACACAAAGGACACAUGCUGGAAAUUACAUGGGAAACCAUCGAAUUUCAAGAAGAAAAAUGGAGGUGAUAGCAAGGUGUUGCAGACUGUGAAUGAGGAUUCUCAAAAGCAACAAACUGACUUUGAGACACCAGCCUUCACAAAGGAACAAUUAAGCCAACUGUACAAACCCUUAUGAAGUUGAGACUUCAGCAUUGGUUUCUAAGGGGACAGAUUUGGACGGGGAUAAAAGAAGGAAGCCUUGGUGUGAACACUGUAAAAAGUCGUGGCACACAAAGGACACAUGCUGGAAAUUACAUGGGAAACCAUCGAAUUUCAAGAAGAAAAAUGGAGGUGAUAGCAAGGUGUUGCAGACUGUGAAUGAGGAUUCUCAAAAGCAACAAACUGACUUUGAGACACCAGCCUUCACAAAGGAACAAUUAAGCCAACUGUACAAACUCUUUAAGUCUCCACAAUUUUCAGUCACUGAGCCAAAAAGCUUCACUCCUUUCUGUUCUUUUGCUAAAAAUGGUAAACCUUUUACUAUUGCUCUUUCAUGUAAAACAUCAAAUGCAUCUUGUCCACGGGUUAUAUGGGUUAUUGAUUCUGGGGCCACUGACCAUAUGACUAGUGUGUCACAAUUAUUUUCUACCUACAGUCCAUGUGCAGGCAAUAAAAGGGUCAAGGUUGCUGACGGAUCAUUAUCCGUCAUAGCUGGCAUAGGUUCCGUUGUCAUCUCUCCUACUCUAACACUUCAUAGAGUUCUUCAUGUUCCAAAGUUAUGCAAUUUGCUGUCCAUAAGUAAAUUAACUAGGGAUCUCAUGUGUCGGAUUAAUUUUUUCCCCUCUUUUUGUGAGUUUCAGGAACUGACCACGGGGAGGAUGAUUGGAUGUGCUAGAGAAAAUGGGGGACUUUACUUCCUUGAAGAUGGAUCAGAUAUGACAACACCAAUCAAAAACACAUGUUACGGGUCUGUCUCUAUUACUAGUAAUAAAGAGAUUAUGUUAUGGCACUUUAGACUAGGACAUCCUAGUUUUUAUUACAUGAAAUACUUAUUUCCAGAUUUGUUUAAGAAUAAAGAUUCAUCUUCUUUUCAAUGUGAAAUCUGCGAAUUGGCUAAACAUCAUUGGUCUACAUUUUCUAUGCAUCCUUAUCAGCCCUCAAAACCGUUUUUUCUAUUACAUACUGAUGUUUGGGGUCCCUCUAGAAUUUCAACUUCAUCUGGAAAAAAAUGGUUUGUUACAUUCAUCGAUGAUCACACAAGAGUUUGUUGGGUGUAUUUGUUAAGAGAGAAAUCAGAGGUUGCAAGUGUGUUUCAAAAAUUCUACAGCAUGGUUUUGACACAAUUUCAAGAAAAAGUCAAAAUUGUUCGGAGUGACAAUGGAAAAGAAUAUUUCAAUAAAAUUUUGGGAAGUUUUUUUCUUGAAAAAGGGAUUGUGCAUCAAAGCUCCUGCAAUGAUACCCCACAACAGAAUGGCGUAGCUGAAAGAAAAAAUAAACAUCUUUUAGAAGUGGCGAGGGCAUUACUUUUUUCAAGAAAUGUUCCUAAAUAUCUAUGGGGCGAAGCAAUUUUAACUGCUACAUAUCUCAUAAACAGAAUGCCCUCAAGAACCUUGAAUUUCCAAACUCCUCUGAAUUUUUUCAAAACCAUUUAUCCCAUGUCUCGAUUAACAUAUGAAGUCUCAUUAAAGGUGUUUGGGUGCAUAUCCUUUGUUCACAAUCAUGAACAAGGUCGAAGUAAGUUAGACCCUCGAGCAAGAAAAUGCAUUUUUGUUGGAUAUGCACCCACGCAAAAGGGGUAUAAAUGCUUUGACCCCAUUUCGAAAAAAUGUUUGUAACCAUGGAUGUAACAUUUUUUGAAGAUAAACCUUUCUUUGGAGAUCCUCUUCAGGGGGGGACUCGGCAUGUAGAAGAACUUGUAGAAGAUGAUGAUGUUUUUCGUAUUGAAAAUCAAAUUCCUGAUCAAAAUUUUGUUGAUAGGAGAAUUGAUUUUUCUGAUUUUUUAGAAGAAUCUGCAGCACAAUUUCCUCAACAAGAAUCUUUUCAAGAUAAUAAUCCUGAAAAAACAAAUGACACUCUUCAAUUUGCCCGUCAAAAGGAUUUUGAAAAACGUGAAAAAAUUGAUCAGGGAUUAGAAGAGGAUCUCUUGUCUUUAGUGCCAAUAACAGAGUCGAAUUCUCUUAGUGAAAGAGAUGGGAAUGUAACUGAAAAAACCUUGAAAACCUAUGUCCGGAAAAAUCAUCGAGGAAAAGAUAAAGCUCCCCCUUCUCUUCACGACAAGGAAUCCGAACCUAGGACAGAAUUUAAUGUUUUUGAGUCAUUAGAUAAAGUUUCCUCUGAUUCAAAGAUUGCUGAUUUGGAUCUUCCUAUUGCACUUCGAAAGGGAGUGCGUUCUUGUACCAAACACCCUAUGACUAACUAUGUCUCUUAUGAAAAGUUAUCCCCUACCUUCUUGACAUUUACUUCACAACUUUCUUCUGUGGAAAUUCCAAAGAAUGUACAGGAAGCAUUACAAGUUCCAGAGUGGAGAAAGGCUAUUGAAGAAGAGAUGUAUGCUCUUGAGAAGAAUCAAACAUGGGAAGUAACAAACCUGCCACAAGGGAAAAGGACAGUAGGAUGUAAAUGGGUCUUUACCAUCAAGUAUAAUUCCGAUGGGACAUUGGAACGGUACAAAGCUCGAUUGGUGGCUAAAGGGUUCACUCAAACCUACGGGAUCGAUUAUCUUGAAACUUUUGCUCCAGUGGCAAAAUUAAACACUGUUAGGGUGCUUCUCUCAAUAGCAGUAAACCUUGAUUGGCCGCUCCAACAACUUGAUGUCAAGAAUGCAUUUUUAAAUGGUGAUCUGGAGGAAGAGGUGUACAUGGAGUCUCCCCCUGGAUUUGAAGGGAAGUUUCAGUCUAGAGUUUGCAAGCUAAGAAAAUCGUUAUAUGGUCUCAAACAAUCUCCUAGGGCCUGGUUUGAAAAAUUUACUAGGUCGGUAAAGAAUCAAGGCUAUACCCAAGCUCAGAGUGAUCACACCAUGUUUGUUAAACACUCCAAGGACGGGAAGAUAGCAGUACUCAUUGUGUACGUGGAUGAUAUCAUCCUCACAGGAGAUGACUUAAUUGAGAUGGAACGGCUGAAGAAAAGUCUUGCUUCUAGCUUUGAAAUCAAAGAUUUGGGAACACUACGAUAUUUCUUAGGGAUGGAGGUAGCUCGGUCCAAGAAGGGCAUUGUUGUGUCCCAACGCAAGUAUGUUUUGGAUCUUUUAAAGGAAACAGGGAUGAGUGGAUGUCGACCUGCAGACACUCCUAUGGAUCCGAAUCACAAGUUAGCAGAUAUAAAAGAUGGAACACCAGUUGAUACUGCUCGAUACCAAAAGUUAGUAGGCAAGCUAAUUUACUUGGCUCACACUCGUCCUGAUAUAGCUUUUUCAGUGAGUGUUGUGAGCCAGUUUAUGCAUUCUCCAUAUGAAGAGCACCUUGAUGCAGUAUAUCGAAUUCUGAGGUACUUAAAAAGUACUCCAGGAAAGGGAUUGUUCUUUAAAAGAGGAGAUCGAAAGACCAUUGAAGCUUAUACAGAUGCUGAUUGGGCAGGAUCAGUCAUUGAUAGAAGAUCAACCUCGGGGUAUUGUACCUUUGUAUGGGGCAAUUUGGUUACUUGGAGAAGUAAGAAACAAAGUGUUGUAGCUCGUAGUAGUGCAGAGGCAGAGUACCGAGCUAUGGCUCAUGGUGUGUGUGAGAUGUUAUGGCUGAAGAGAGUUUUAGAGGAGCUGAAAAGACCUAUUGAACUUCCAAUGAGGCUCUAUUGUGAUAACCAGGCGGCAAUUAGCAUAGCUCAUAAUCCUGUGCAACAUGAUAGAACCAAACAUAUUGAGAUUGACCGCUACUUCAUAAAAGAGAAACUUGAAGGAGGAAUUAUCUGCAUGCCAUUCGUUCCAUCAGCUCAGCAAAUAGCUGACAUUCUCACCAAAGGACUCCUCAGACCAAAUUUUGAACUUCUUACAAGCAAGUUGGACAUGAUAAAUAUAUACGCACCAACUUGAGGGGGGGUGUCGAAGAUAUUAUCUCCUAUGAUUAUGGGAGAUAUUAUCUUCCAUAAUUACCUCCCAUAAUUAUGGGAUUUUAUUGCUUAUGAUCAAUCAAGUUUGAAUAGAUAGGAUAUGAGUUGAUUAUGUAAUCCCUAAAAUCAUGGUUCUAUUACCUUAAGUGGUGGCAGAACUAUGAUAGGGUUGUCCUAUAUAUGCCUACCUUGUAAGCAUAUUUAGUUAGUGGGAAAAUAAAGAAAAGGAGAGUUUUUUGUUCAUUUUUUCCUUUUCUGUUAAAGUUUACAAUCCUCACUGUCUUGGCUAUCUUACUUUGAACAUUUUUAUUUCUAACAAACAAAUAUUUUGAGCAAAUUAGAGGAUUCACAACAUCAAGUAGAAUAGCGCAGCCUAAGCAUAUAUCUUAAUUGAGUUGAUUCAAACAGAUAGCAGUUCUUCACAUAUUUUGUAAAGAACUAAAAGCCUAAACCAUCAACAAAGUGCUAAAGAUUGUGCUUUUAAAAGGGUGAAACCUAUUGAAUGCACCCAUGCAGUACAUACAUUAAUGAGAGAAAAAAUAAGUUGACAGAAAUGGCGCUUACCUUCUCCUCCUUUCCAUUUGUAGCUAUGCUGGUGCUAGCUCUUACACCCUCAAUGCUGACCUCGUCAUGCAUAGUCACGUGCAGAAAGUCUGCAGAAAGGAUACUGCAAGAGUAUUUAUGAGACAACAUGCAUCCAGACAAGCAUCACUUCAUAAAUUCAUGGUCCAAUAUCACAUGCAACACAAAUUUCAGUUUACCAAACAAAUAGACAAACUAAUAGUUGGAUAAGAUCUAUAAGGUUGUGAUUCCAUUAAAAAAGCAAUGGAUAAUAAACUAAUAAUACCCAAAAUCCAAAUGAGCACUAGAUAACUAAUGUACUGAUAUGCAAAAAACACACUCAGGACAUUGGAUGAUAUCUAAAAGGUUCUUCUUAUACUAAAGUAACAAUGCUAUAUCUAAUAAUGAACCAUUUAUGUUCAUAAUCCAAAUAAGCAUAUAGUAAAAGAAACAGUAACAUGAGCGACCAUAAAUAAAUAAUGCAAUUCCUCUUUACUGCCAUCUUCACUUGAUGCUUAACCCAAAUUCCCCCACAUGCAAGCACUAAAAUCAAGCCUACCUCAUUAUUUUUAUAAUAUGGACAUCCAACACUUCUGAAGAAUAGGAGCAAUAUCUUCAGCUGUAUAAGAUUAACUACUUAAAGAAUUGUUUUAUUAGGACCAACUCCUUUUCAAUCAUACGAUUUGCCUAUUUCAUUAUCACCCAAGAUUUUGAAUAUUCAGGCAGUUUGAGCAAAACCAUACAGCUUACUUCUCACUUAUUUUUGUCAGAAGAAACAAGAUGAAGAAAGAAAAAGAUCAUACUCCAUCCCAUUUUGUAUGUCUUGGUCUACUUUGCACAUAGUUUAGGAAACAUAAAAUUUGUCCAAAACACAUCAGCUACUGAAGCGACUCUUCCAUUAUUGCCCCCUUAAUCAUAGUUCAAUAUUUUGUAGGUUGACUUUGGAACACAACUACCAAACUACAAAGAUGGUUUAUAACACUAAUUAUUGAGGGAACAUAAAUCUUUUCUUCUCAGAAAUAGUACAAAGGGUAUAAUAGGAAAGUUGAGCUUUAUUUAAUUCCAUUUUUAAGCCAUGACAAGUAUUUUUGCACAAACCAAAAUAAAAUGUAAAAUGGGACAGAUGGAGUACUUAAAAGCAAUGUACUGUAAUACCCAUCAACGUCACAAAAUUUGCCUGAUGAGAGUAGUGCAAUGCAAGGACUCCUAUUUAUCAUCCUUGAAGACUAUAUAAAGUUGCACCAAAUUCAUACUCCGAGAAAGUUUCAAAUAAGGAACAACAUACCAUUAGAAAAGAUGGGAAAUUGACUAAUUUCUUCAUGUAGGAUGUAAAAAUAAAUUGUAGUCAGCCAGAAGUUUCCAUAAAUUAAUCUCAUGUAGAAACACAGAAUUAAUCACUUAGUUCAUUACCAUAUUUUGGGAAGCUAAGGCAUUCAAGAAUUUUCAUUUGGUCUGUGCGGAACUUUCAACAACACAAGAAAGGACCAGAUGGUAGAUACCAUGUAAUGACAUAUAAACUUCGUUUGCAUCCAGCGACAUACAAAGCGCCAUGAUUAUACACAUGGUUUUCAAAAUGGUCAUUGGCACUUUUAAGACUUGUAUUCUACUUCAAUUUGACAAGAUUGAAAGUCCUACUUUGACUAGACAAACACAUUACCAGUGGAAAAUAAAUAAUAGCCCAAAAAGAAAGUAGAAAUCCCAUUCGAUCACAACAUUAGUCAACAUGCAUUUAAGGUAAAAGUUAAAAUCAUAUGCGUCCUUGUUGUUUGGUGUGGAAAUUUCAACACAAGGAUAGUGUGAAUAUUCUGACAGAAUCAACGAGGAAAGAUAAUCAAGUUGGGAGAGUAAUGAUCACAGAUAGACAGUGAAGUACCAAAAGCCAACUCCUUUAGAUCUUAAUAUCCAUCCCGGUUAUAAUAUUCCCCUUCAUCACUAGACUCAUCUAUCUGUUCCUCUCAUAGAUCGAUUUUGUUUAAGAAGCACACUCACAGUUAAAUAUCUAAUACAUAGAGUCAUGUUCCAUUCACAUAAUCUGCAUAUGCUAUUACCAGUCUCAAUCCCUUGGUGGAACAUAAAACAGAUUUGGGAAAAGGAACAGAGGCCUAUUGGGUGGGCUUACAAUACCAUCCACUUGGGAACAAAAUAACCCAUUGGAAUUUUCAAUAAUCAAUAGUAUGGGUUUAUUUCCCCUUUAUUCCAACAAAUAUAAAGGAAAAGCAUGGCCAUAUUUUUUCACUCUUGUUUUCCUGUUCUCUCAAGUGCACAAGAGUUUAAGAAAUCUCAUUUCAUAGUACUCAAAGAACCGAUGUUAUUGUUAAAAAGUGGGGCACUAGAAUCAUGAAAGUAACUAGAAGAUACUAGCAUAAAAUUGUCAUCAAUUGAACAGUACAAACUAUUCUCUGACAUUUUCUCACAGAAUAACAUAGAUAUAUAAUUGCUUUUGAUCAUACACGCCUACAUAGUCAUCAACUGCAUCUACAGCAUUGGAUUUUAAAGUUUUCUGUUACCUAGAUACAAAGGUCCUCCAAGACUGACAGUAAGGAGUUCAACUAUAAUAACAAUUGCAGCGCCGAACAAACCUGUUAAUAGAGUCCACAGAAGCUGCUACAUGAUCACGAAGGUUACGAAAGCAAUGCAUACCAGUCAGCUCAUUGCCAUCCUAUGAGAGAGAAACAUGAAAUCAUGAAUCAUCCACAACAGAUUGCAGAAUCAACUACAGAGACAGCUCCCUAAUCUGCAAAAGUAUUUUUCUAGACUUCCAAGUAAAAAUCAAAUUUGCAAGUUUCAUUAGAAAUUCAGGAAGCAAAAUCCCAAGAUUAUUAAAAGAUCCAUCCAUGAGCUCUUAAUUGCAUCUCAAGGGCUAAUGAUUCUCAAAUCCAUAGAAUCAAAACAAUUCUUCCUUCACAUAAAGAACAGAUAUCCCCAAAUACAGGAAUAGACCACAGAAAUCAUCCACACAAAGAAGUGAGAACUUACUUUUGGUAAUUAUUUUCAACCAUUUUGAAAAACUGUUAUUACUUGAGCUUUGUUGCUUUUGUUACUUUACAUUCUACUUAUUCUUUAACAUCAAUCUAACACACGAUGAAGAAAAAUGACAGCAAUCUACCUUCAUUUCCACAAAAAGGAAAUAAAGAAGCAGCAAAGACACAAAAAGGAAACAUCUGAAAAGACUAAUCCUAUAAAUUUAAACUAGUAAAAAAUAGAACAAAAAAAGGGCGACAAAAGCAUCUCUAAACUUGUGGCGACCAUCAACUCCUCUAUAACGAUAUGCAGUGAGAGAACAAGCCCUCCUUUCUAGCAAAGAAGUUAAAUUGAAGAAAUCACCAAGACAGCUAAAGAUUAAGCAAAAAGAUUUUGGUUGUGAUAAACAUACCAGUAAAUGCUGCAAAUCAAGAGUAACAUCUAAAGCUCCAGCACAAUCUGCAGAAGUAAUAAGCUGUAUAAAGCAAAUGAAUGUAGCAUCAGCCUAAAGUCUAGACAGAGAAUAACCAACUAUUAGCCAAUAAUUUAGAUGAUUAAACCUAAAAGUGAAACCAAUCAUGCAAUUAAAGAAACUGAAAACUAGAUAAGACUAAAUCCUAACUAGUUUAUAGAAACCCUAUUAAACAAAUCGGUGCAACAGCUACAUCGUGUGCUGAAAUUCACUGCCUAAUUAAAUCUCAGACCAAGAACAUCAUUUAAGAAAAGUUCUUGGUCCAAAGGAAAGUCUAAUGUAAGAUCUUCCUGAUUUGUAACUUAGAUACCAAGCCCAUUUUAUUGUUUCAAUCCAAUUUGCUAAAAAUUUGGCUGCAGAGAGUUUUUUUUUUUUUUUCCAGAGCUGUGAAAGGUCAUUGACAGAGGCACAUUAUUCAUUUUACUCGAUUAAUGUCCAACAGGGCAAUACCUAAAAUUCGGGUUUGUUGGUGUGCAGAAUUUUAAAUUUUCAAUCUAAAAGGGUAUAGUUUCUUUAACUUUUAACUUCCUUAAUUUUAAAGAGCAUACUAGGCUGAUUUAAACCCUCAGAAGUUUUAGUAUUGUAUAAUCAAGUUCCUCCCUGGUUUGUCAGCCAGUGUAAUUCUUCUUCAGCACGCUUAGCAUAUUAAGUUUAAACCUCCAAACAAAUAAACUGCAACUCAAUCAACUUAGUUCCAAGGCUUUGCAACUAGGCAGUUGCUAGAGGUUCCCCUUGGUCAAACCUAAAUAGAAUAAUUUGAGUAUCAUUUUUUCCCAUAAUCAUGUCCAUCUUAAAAUUAUCCUCCAUAAUCUUAAAUUUGCCAGGGGAGUAAUAUUCUUUAUCUGAAACCCCUUUUUACCCCCAAAUUAUCAUCCAAAUUCUCAAAGUUUUAUGGGAGAAGCAUUCCAUGUUAGUGCUUCUAACCCAAAGAAAAAAGUCCUCCUUCCAAACAAAAGGACUCCAAUGUUCUCCUGCAACAUAAUGCGGACUAAGACUUCAAUAAGAACGAUAUCAUAAUCUAGAAUCUGCAGUCAAGAAUCUUCUCCAUCCUCCACCGUCCAAAAUAAAAUAAUAACUAGCAUAUUCAACAUCUUGUUCAAUCCAUUAUAUUUGUCAUCACAUCCAGAUUAUCCUCAUGCAUGUCUUAGAUGGAAUUUAACUUCUACACUAAUGCAAGUCUUCGUCCACCGGAAAACUAGAAAAGCAAAUUGUACACAAUCACAAAUGUCAAAAAGAAUAACUUGCGAAGCCAAAGCCAAAACC
rnacentral:lncRNA from 1 species